rnacentral:tRNA from 2 species
UGGUCUAUGGUGUAAUGGCAGCACAUGAGCCUUUGGAUCUCAUAGUCGAGGUUCGAACCCUCGUAGACCAGC